GGCCUUGUCGUCCAACGGUUAAGACGUGAGACUUUGAAUCUCAAGACCUGAGUUCGACUCUCAGCAGGGCCU